GGCGCGCCGUACCGUAUUCUCUCUUGUAACCACCCCCCACCUGCCGAGAAAUACAGCAAUGGGAAAUUUUUAUAGAAAGUAGCUUUUUCCAGGCACGGAGUGUAGAUAUUGCUGAAAAGUUAAAUCACAGGAAGCUGAUUCAAUCUGGAUUCUGAAGGCUCUUCGUCAUUCUUGCGCUGAUCUUUGAAGAUGCAAAGAAUGUAAUGGCAGAUCCCUUUGACUGAGCCAUCUCGGUGUCCAAGAAGACAUGCUUCCAGGUAAAGAAUCUGUAGUAGGCGGUCUGGGGGUUUAGCUCAGCAGCAUAAGCGCCUGCCUUGAAAGCAGGCAGUCGUGAGUUCGAUCCCCAGUACCGAUAAAAAAGAAAAAAGACAAAAAAAAAAAAAAAAAAAAAGAGUCUGUAGUAGCAAAGUGCUGGAGGGUGAAAAGUACAAGACAGAAAUUUAUGUGGUCUCAGGAAUAGUUCAGUGAGAGUCAGAAAUGACCAAGUGAGGCAGAUCUCCAGUGUAGAAUAUGUGGCUUUGGGAAGCCCUUACCUAACUUCAUACCAGAAAUAACUCCCAAGAAGCACUCUGCUUUGUUUGGGACCCACUUAGAGGUAUCAGAGGGGGAAGAAUCUUAAAUAGAGAAAGCAAGAAAACAGAAAAGACUAUACGGGCAUCUUUCAAGUCAAGGACAUUGAGUCUUCCUCCAUGUCUGCUCCCAACUCACUGGAGGACAAGGCUACCAAAUGGAAGAAGAAAUGAAAACACUGAUCCCUUCCCUCCCCAGUCCGAGUCUUUUAGGUGGAAACUCUGCUGGAAUUAAGGAAAUGCAAGGUGAUGUUUCAGAUCGAUAUGAGGUAGAACUUUAAAUCAGAUUAAAUUGGACUGAAGUGGCAUUUUAAUAGCAGAAAAUAAUCAGAAACCUGUGGCAUCUGAAUAGCAACAUACUUGAAAGUGGCAAUUGGAGAAAAAUGGAAAACUUUUCAUACUUGUUUCUGAUAAAAGUUUAGAUUAUUGAAUAAGCCUGUUACAUUACUGAUCCUCUUUUGAUUUUUCCAGUGACUCUGUGAAGACUAAAGUGCGGCCUUAUUACCUUGUAACACAUAAGAAAAACUGAAACCGGAUAAUGUGGAACAUUUUAGUACCAAUGAGUGCUCAGGGAUUCUUAGUGCUUUGUGACCCCGUGACUCUUAAAUGGGAGUUCACAUAUGCCUUGAGAAUGUGGAGCUGGGCCAGGAACCUGGAGCAAAAGCUCAGCACAUCAUGUUCUGUAGCAGCAGUAGUUAUCAAUGGUAGGAAAUUAAAGCAUGGUUUUUAUUUAAGACAAAUGUGAAACUAUAUAGACAUGAUUAACAUUUGUAUAAUCUAAAACAUACAAUAAUUUAGGGAAAAAUUUUGGACAACAUUUUAGUCUGCAUCUUAUCUAAAUCCUGUCCGUGUUAAUCUUUUACCCAUAAGGGGUCACUUCAUAGGCCUUUGAGAACCUUAUCACUUAUAUUCUUAACCCAGAUUCACCCAGAAGGCUUUCUGGAAUAGUGAAAGGAGGAAAAGAUUACAUCUAAAGAGAAGUAUUGCUCUAAUUCCACAUAAUACUCCUUGUGAUUUGAGAACAUUAAAGUUACUAUCCUAAUUACAUGUUGAAAUCCUGAUAAUGUCAAUGUAGUGCAUGAAAUUCUUAGGGAGGUUCACUUGGCUAUUAUAGUUAUCACAAACAUCCUUGGUUUGAUGUUUAACUGAGAAAUCUCCUUAUAAUUGUUGCUUGUGAUCAUAAAAUAUUAGUUGUAGUCUAUAAACUAUAACAGAUAUGAAUUGCUUAUUUUAUUAUAAAAACAAUGAAUGCUCCAAAUAAAAAUUGGCAAAAGCAAAUUGGUUAGAUUCUUCAAUAUAAACAUUACUGAAUUAUCCUAAUAUUAACCAGAAACAUACAAUAUUCCGAAAGUUGGUAAAUAUAAGUUAUCAAAAGCUAUAAAAUUUAUUUAUUUUGUUCAUCACAGAAUACCAAGUGCCUAGGUAUAAAAUGACUACAAAGAGAUGAUUUUCCAAGGUGGCCAAGAAAGAGGGUUACAGCUUGGUUUUGUGUGAAGAAGGUGUGGGGCCCUCAAGCCUGGAGUGCAGAAAGGCUUUCUCUGGCUUCUACUUUGUCAUUGUCCUCUACUGAACAAAAAGAAAACUGCUUGUCCGCCUCCGAAAAAGAAGUUGGCUGUUACCGACCAUGCUGUGAUGUCCUGGACGGCCUGACACCUGCCUCACACAUCCCUCAGGAUCUCCACUGUCCCACCUCGGCCACCCACUUUCCUGUUCACUCUCGGGAACUCAGUCAGUCGGAAACAUUCUACCUUCAGAAUGGCCAGGGGAGAAGGUAGAUGCCGACGCAGAGAAACUGACCAAUAUCCAGAUGCUGCCAUGAUGUCUCCAUCUUGUGGCUUUUCUUAAAGGUUCCAGAAUGUCAAGCCAUUUACAUAUCUGCAAAGCAAGCAAGCAAGCAAGCAAGAAAGAAAGAAGAGGAAAGAGAGAAAGAAAGGUGUAAAUAAAUCCAAGAGUCAAGCCAUCAGAAGUAGAAGCAAAAAUUUGAGAACUCAAGCAGAUGCAUAAGGAUUUGUAAAGAGAAGUUCCAGAAUGCUUUGAGGGCGAUUAGAAAAGUGUAUACAGAAAGAAAAGUGCAACGGACCAAAGGUUUACAUGGCCAGGAGGCAUCCACAAUGUGGGGACAACAGAAGAAGGGCACCAAAAUGCACAGCAAGAGCCCUCCCCCAACUUUAAACCUGCUGGCACUUUGGUCUUGGACUUCUCAGCCUCCAAAUCUAACACCCAGUAGAAACCAAGAGCUGUUCCUUGGAUGGAUGAUUACUACUUGGUAAAGUAAAUGUGCUUAUGCUCAAAUACCACAGGGACCUCUGUUGUGGUUCUCUAAUUGGAAUUUCCACAAAGUUUAGAGGGCAUACCAAUCAGCUGAAGAAAUUUUGAAUCCUGUUUGAUUCACUUGACUCUAAAAAAACAAAUAGGGGCUACCUGCAAUAAAGUUUAGACCAACUAGCCCCUUCUACUCCUAGGUUCCAGUCAAAACUUGAAGCCAUCCUAUGAAUGAAUAAAAGAAGCACAUCCAUGUUAUCUGUUACUCCCCAAAUUCAAUGAAGUUUAUGAAAUGUAGUUUCUUUCUUUAAUGGUAUGGGGUACAAGAUACAGUAACCUGUUCUUCACCUUGGAGAGGUGAUCUCUGUGUGCUUCAGGCGGAAGAAAGGGCCAUCAAAAGCCCAUCACCGCUACCUUACAUUUCUGGGUAUUAUCAACAUGAUAUAACAGGGCAGCUGAAUAGCAUGACACCCUAUGAAAUAAAGGACUCCAAGUACCAAACUGUGGCACAUAGUUCAUGAGCUAUUACCAUGAGACCAGACAGGAAUACUACUGUUGCUGUCAGGUGAAGGUGAACUUCUGGUUUUUGAAAUAGCAUUUGUCAGAUGAAUAGAUGCAAACUAGAAAUUUUAUUUGUUCUAAUAAUGAAAUUACAAGUGGAGUGGCCAUUUUGGCCUGAAAUACAGAUUACAUGUAUGAUGAUCAACUGGGCAUGAGUAUUGAUGAAACAUUUUGAACACUAGAGGAAUUUUGCUUAGGCCAAAAGAGUUAUUUCUAUAUCUUUUAAGUCUUCCAAUGUGGCCUUUAAUUUUACGUCUUUCCCCCACCUUUUCUGGUCUCCUCCCUAUGAUAUAACAUUGGUUUUGAUUUACCAUUUUGGAAGAGGAAGGGCGUUCUAAGCAUUUUACUUAUCCCUUCCUACCAUAGUAGGUAUGGUAAUCAUAUGAUUAAUCAUUAAAACUAGGAUAUUUUUAUAGUAACAAAGUUGUACUAGUAAUAAUUAUGCUGGAAAAACCAGAUGAAAACUAUUACACCAGUGGUCAGUGAUCCAGUUUGGGUUUUGGUCAUUUGCUGAGGUUAUCUGUAAUGACAGCACAUUUAGCAACCUGGAAAUAACAGUUACAUAGGUUCAGCUUAUUGGGACUCCAUGGGUGAGAGCUCUGUUCAUACCUGAUCUCUUUACCCCUCUCCCCUAAUAAGUGAACCAAACUGAUAAUCUAUCUUCAAUAUCUGAAAUAAGUGCCUACUCAAAGCCUGUGUCAAAUAAUCAAGGAAAGGUCAGAGUAUUACGUUUUUCUUAUUAAACAAAUCCUUUAGUAAAUGACUAUAAAUUCCUUUGUGGAAGUUUAGAAAGAAAAUCAUAGUGCACACUUGUUAGGACAGGAUACAAUAAGUGUAUCCAGCCUUCUCUCAAUUCUGUGGGAUAUCUAGUCUGAGAAUUAGGUGAAGAGCUUUUAUUCUGUUGUGGUAGCUAAAAGCAGACUCUCUAAGUCUAGGGGCCUGUUACUGUGAUAUUAAAUAGGACCUCUGAGGGCUGGUCACUACUGUUCCAAUUAGAGGUUAGGGGUGGUCAAGUACAUGUACUCAAAUGUCUGCUGUUUAAUACUUUCCUCAGGUUAAGCCACUACAGUGUCUUCUAGAAAGGGCAGGAACAGCUUCAUUCUGCUUUAUGGGGCAAAGAAGAUGGUACCUUUUGAAUCCUUCAAUUCUUUCCAAAUAGUCCUACAGGAUGUCUAUUCUUUUCCAAUAAAUACUAAAAUUUUCAUACAAGAGUUCUAGAAAAGCUGUGAAUUUAAUUAACACAUUCAUGAAUGUGUUGAGCUAAAUACUGAGUUUUGAUUUGGGGUAUUUUUGCUCAGUAGCCCAAAAGAGAACACAUUUUGUGUGUUUACUUGUUUUUAAAGAAAGCUUGUUGUUAUUCUCUAACUUCAAGCUGCUCAUAACAUACGACCCAACUUCCACCCAGUUUUUCUUGAUCCCCUCUUCUUAAAGUGAAAAAGGAUGCUCAUAAAAUUAUGUUGGGAUACAAAACACAAAAAUAUUAGAGAAGUGACAUACAAUCACUGUAUUCAUGUUCUAUCUUUUUUUUUUUUUUUGUACCGGGGAUUGAACUCACGACCUCAGGCUUGCCAGGCAGGUGUUUAUGCCACUGAGCUAAAUCCCCGGCCGCUUUAUGCUCUAUUUUCUGAUUAAUAUUUUCUCAUUAAUCAUCAGGAUUCUUUAAGUCUUUAAUGAGUAGCCAUUAUAAGUGACUAGAGAUAGCAACGUGAUUAAAUUUGACUAUCUUGGAAGUGUAUCAUACCUUAAUACUAUAAUAACAUGAUUUUAUGAUUCUUCCGUCUGAGAACUUGAGAUAAUAAAUCCCAGAUUCUUGCAUUACUACAAAAGUGUGUUCUCAGAAGUCUACAACUUUUAUUCAUCUUACCAGUAUCUUAUCAGAGUUCUUGGUAAAAAAAAAAAAUGAGUCUUCAUAAAGAAUGUUGGACUACCUGGAUUCCCAAAGGUACCUAUUUACUUCACAGCACAGCAUCUUUUGGAGCAUCUGGAAACAUGAUGUAGGGCCAUUUGGUGAAACCAACAUUAUGUCUACAAGGGAGACUACACAAUACCUUUUUCAGUUAUAAUUUUGAUAUUUAAUUAUUGUCAUGUGCAAUCUUAACAGUUAAUUGUACACUUUUAUAACUAAGUAAACCUUUUCCUAAUUACCUGGAACAAAUGAACAACUCUAGCAUGUAUGAAUAGAAUAUAACAGUGACAACAAAACACAAAACCAAUCAUUUUCAUGCUGUGGAAGGAAAGGCAACCAAGGCCAAUUUUCUAGCCCUAAGACAGAAUUUUGUCUUACUAAUAAAUGAAGAAUUACUUUAUGUGAACUACAAAUUAACUUUAAGUUCCAUUAUUCUAGGAGCUUAUAAAAUGCCAGCAAGGACAUAUAAUUGAAUAAUUAUAUAUCACAAAAUGUUAGAGAAAAAUAGUGUAGGUAAUUAAAAUUUGUAUGCGUAUAGAGGUCAAGGAAUCUUUUUCUCUUGUUUUUGCUUUUCUGGCUAGCAAGAGAGUGGGAUAAAGGCUGGAAGGCUGGGCUUACACCUGGCCUUAGAUAUGGUGGUACUAUUUUCUGAUCAGCAGAAUUAUCAGACAGAAGAUGGUUAUAUAUCUAGUCAGAUAUCUGCAGUAUAUCUAGAUUUUCACUGUCCCAUUUGCUUUUCCCAUACCUUUGGAAGGGGUUGUUUUAUUUGUUAAUAUUUAUACAUUUCUCAACUGUAAGACAUUUUUUUGCUUUUAUGUUUGUUUUUCCUGACAGUAAGAGAUGUGGGUAAAGAGAAGAGAUCUAUUGGGCUUAUUCCAUGCUUUGGCAGAGGAAAUUUGUGUAGGUGUAGUUCAGAAAAUCAUUGUGUCAUCAGGGUAAAAGACUCUGAAAAGAGGAGCUUGACCAAGAAUUCUGGGAUAUGGGAUCACCAAUGUGCAGAUUUCAGCAUGGCUGUGGUCUUGGAGCUUACUCUCUAAUGAAAUUAACUAUACUUUUUAUGUGCCAAGUUGAGUAUUAGGCCUUUGUCAUCAUGGAAAUUUCUAUUAUUUGCAACAGGGUACUCAUUUCCUAUGUGAUCAUAAGAGGUUUCACUGUGUGAACAGGAAUGUGCCCCGUGGCCCAAAUAUUACACUCCAGAAAACUAGUGUUUUCAUAUAAACCUCCUUAAACUGCUUUUUAAAAAUUGCUUAAACGAUCCAUCUUACUCUUGACAGCAAAUAAUAGUGGUUUUCUUUUAGAUCUGUCAUACAAUAAAUGUACCCCCAAAAAAUAUGUUAAAAAGACGCUGAAGUAAAAAAAUGUUUAAAAGUAGUGGUCUUACAGUCACGUGAGUUAAAGGCAAACGCAGUUUGUCAUCUCUCAUGUUCGUUUUUUGGGAUUUGUUUAAUGACAUUGCAAAACAAGUCUACAAAAUCAGGAAAGCAUAGAUUUGUCCUUUGGAAGUCAUUUUUAUAGGAUUUUUUUCAAAGCUAUUACAAUUAUACUUAUCAAAUAAAAUUGCAAUUUGAUGUUUCUUUUUUUAGAUUCCAGUUUUCCAAGUUGAAAAUUUGAGCUUUGAUCUUUACCUAUUAAUUACUCAACAUAAGCUUCUCAGCAUGCAUAAUUUUAUAAGAAAUUACUAUACUUCAUUCUGGAAUGGGUUUUCCCAGGACUUAAUAGCCUGUACUUUAAUGUACAGUAAGUUAAAAUUUCCCAAUUUGAUCAAUUCCUUUUAAAUUUGAAUGAGAUUCUACUUUUCCUCAUGUUCUCAGAUAAUGCUAUUGAUUUAUAGACAGUGGGGGUGGGACUUUGAGUAGAUUUUGCAGUAGCAAUGAAAUAAGUCCAUCAAGACCCAGACACACUUGCUUGACUCUCCCCAUGAUAAAGAUGCUCCUGCUUAUCUAAUAUACAGGUCUAGACUUCAGCUGUGAAACAGAAUAAAACCUAGAAGUUUGAACUAGUUCUGCUACUAGCCUGGGCCAUUGCGGUACUAUCUUCUGAUCACAAGAAGUAACAGAGAACAGACAAUUAUUUUCACCUCUGAAGAAUCUCUAGGCUUUCACUAUUUUUAUGUCCACAGACUCCAAUUGUUUUAUUUGCUAAUAUUUCCGAGCUUAGGUUCAACUUCAAGCCAAGGAUAUUACUGCAAGAGAAGUAAGAAUAGAAAAUCAAUACCUUAUUGAUUGCCAGUGAAAAUGACUGUGAAUGACUUCAGUUACCUCUUUGUAGCAUAAGGACCAUUGUUCCAUCUUCUCUAUUUAUGGAUCUCUGAGUUUUCAUAAUGAAAAUGUUAAGACUGAAUCAAAGACUAGGAAAAAAAAGUCUUCAUGCCUUUCAAGUUUGUAAAUCUGAAAAUAGUGUAUUUAAAAAAAUCUUUCAGUGUUGGACUAAAAUUGUUUGUUUCCCUCUUUAGUUUUUAAACAAGGAAAAGUGUCAUUUUGUGGGGUCACGUCUCUAAGGAAAAGUGGUUACACUUAGCCUGAUUAAAGUAAAAAUACAUACCUGUGCACAAUAUUCUCACUUCAUCUCAAUAUAUUAAAAAAUCUGGCUUCUCUAAUAUUUUUUAUUUUGUGAAAAAAUAGAAAAAAAUUUCAUAACAAAAUGAGGAAAUAACAAUAGUUAAUACACUGGGUAUCAUUAUCUUCAAAGUAGUCCCUCAGUAUAAGACAUCAACUGAAAAGAUUCUUACAGAAAAGAAACAGACAAUACAAUACUCUCUUUUCAUGAUAAUGUAUUUAUUUUAGAUCUGACAUUUCUUUCAGUCACUAAACAUGAAUUUUUAAAUUUUACAGAAAUCACAGAGAACUCAAUUAUUUUUUAAACAUCUUGGAGCUUAAGAAAAUGUAUUCAUUAGCUAUCAGAAUAGGGAGUCAGAGGAGGAUGCGAGGAGACUAGAUUGGAAGUGUCUGCUUGACAGUGUCUGGAUAAACAGGAUUCUGCAGAUACAGGGUAGCUCUUAGGACUCCACAAACUGCAGACUCAAGGAGAUUGAUUCUGACUACACCACCUUUGGGAAGGCUGACUUUAAAAGAACUGAAAUCUUCCUGUUAUUUUAAUACUGAGUCACUUAGAACACUUCGAUUGAAAGCAACAGAAACGACUUCAGAUCAUCUAAAUGAAAGAAACAGUACACCGGAAGGUCAGGGGCAUUUGCAGAAUUCUGGAAAUAACGAAGACUCAGUCUUCAGAAGGCACAAGAACUAGAGCAGCUGUUUACUGAGAUCCAGGCUCAGAAGUAAAACAGCAUCAAAUAUUUUCUAUCCCUUCUUUUGGGGCUCCAGUUUUGGAAGACAGGGUACAACUGAUUUAGCUAGUGUCCUGGCCUUAAGACUGACAAGACAUACUGACAUAUACCCCAUCUAUGUGCUUGGAAGAUGAGGAAAGGGCUCAGAGAGGAGCUAGCAAAUUAGCCACUACUAGAUGAAGGAUAGGAAAAAAUAACAGCAGCUGUCCCCUGCAGGUAGCAUUCCUAUCCAGACAUGUCAGUCUCCAGGCGUGGGCUUUCCUUUCUCCUCUCUCUUUAGCUUUAUGUUCUCGACACCACCCAGCUUCUCCCCAGUCCUUUCUACUCUAGACUCACCUCAUGGAAAGCAUGUGAAAACUCUAUUUCCGCUUCUUUAUUGUAUGGAGGAGCUCUUACUUUGAUUAGGCUAUGCCACUUGGUUUAGUUCUGCUUAGUUCUGCUCUAUUCUUGAGAUACAAUCUCUUCAGUACUAAUGACUGGAAACUUUUCUUAUUUCCUGGACCUGAGAUGGAUUGGUACUUGCUUUGCUUCUCUCUACUCCCUCGCUCCCACCAGAGGUUUGGGUGCUUCCCUAACCAUCUAAUGUGUGCCUGGGGUCAUGUUCCCUACACUGAACACACAGAGGUGCUCUGCCUGUUGGAUUCUGGAUUUCUUAGCACCCUGCUUCCUCUAUGUGCUUACUUUCAGUAUUCCUGCUAGGAUGGUGCUGACGCCAACUGAUUGUCUGCCAAAUUUUUCUCUUGUUUUAAAAUUCAGAAACAUUUCUUUUUACCAUUCUGCUCAUCCAGUAUUCCCACUUACUUGUAUUCUUUAAAUUUGUUUUAGUAAAUACUGAGUAGAUAUAAAAUCCUAAUGAUAUUAUAUGUAAGAGUUACAGAAAUGUAAACUAAUGAUCUCCAGUGUGCUCACCACCCUGUUUAAGAAGUAGGAUGCAGUCCCAUUCUCUCUUAAAAUAACUCUCUGCCCAACUAUUUAGAAUGGGCUUCUCUCACCUGUGAAGGAAAGAACAUUAUAAAGUAAAAUCUCAUCUCUAACACUAUUUGUGUGAUCUUGGAUAGGUUACUACUCCUCUCUGAUGCUCAGUUAAAAUCUUGCAAGUUAGCUAACAACAUGAUGAUCACUGUAGAGAUAUAAAUGUACUUUGUGUAUCUGAUGGUUCUCAGGGUCUCAGUAUCUCUAGUACUCUGCUUCUCUUCCUAUGCCUGCUGGCCACUGUCACCCUGACUACGCUCACAGGUAGGAUGCUCUGUGGUAGAUGAAUCCAAGAUUCCUAAAUCUUUCUCAAGUGAAUAAAAAAUUGGUCUUAUAGUAGAGCUCAGCAGAUACCAACGGGUCUUGACUGUAAGGAAAAAGAAUAUAUAUGUGGUUCGCACAAUGAGGAUUCAUCACUGCUAGGUUACAAGAUUGCAUAGAGGACUAAAGGUAUCAUAAUAGGACACUACUCUUCCAUAUCUAACCACUUCAGCAUGGCUGCCAUUUAAUUAUGCCCUCCAGACUUCCGGGAGAACAUGGCGGACAGAUAGCAGCAGCUAUGGAGGCUCUCUGAAAGACCCAGCUUAGAAUUCAGGAAUGGUGCGGAGUAAGGAAUCAUAAGCAAGUGGAGAUAUGCCCUGCUGACCCAAGAACGAACUGGGCUGAGAAAAACCAACUGGGAAUACAAUCCUCGUGCUAUAACAGGAACAGAAAAGCCUCAGUGGGGAAGCUGGAGCCCGUGCCAUUGGAAGCCACAAUUUGGGUUUCCCGCCGCCACUGCUGCUGCAUCUACAUCUGCUUGGCAGGGAGAGAGAAGAGCGAAAGCUCUGAGAAUGGGAUCGGUGAAUGGAGUUGAAAGCAGGACGGGCGGGGAGCUGUGCAUUGACCUGCGGUGAGUGAGAGAAACUGGGACUCUUCCACUGUCUAGGAGACUCCAACAGAGGACAUUCUAGGACUGGGCAGACUUGUGGGAACAGGGUGCUGCAGUGACUUCAGUCACAUAUUCCCCUCUCAAGCAGGAUUGGUGAGCAGUGCCUAGCCUACGUGACACUGCUGGCUGAGACCCAGUAGACUAGCACAACCCAGAUCCCAGUGCCUGAAAGUGACCUGGAGGGGCGGGCCCCACAUAGGCUGCCUGGUCUGCAACUUCCUGGUGCGCUGUGGUGGGCAGGAACACCUAGCCGGCGCAAUUCAAUCAGACUGUGGCUGACAGGGAAGGAAGCUGGGCCUCCUAUAUACGCUUGCAUAUAUAAGGAAUAAAGAAUAUGGGAAGAGGCAGCAACAAGAAAGGGUCCUCGGCCCCCAAUCCUGAGAAAGAGGCAAUAGCAGACACAGCACCAAUAGAUAUAAAGUGCUAUCUCCAGAGCCUCAUAGACAAGUUCAGGAAUGAAGUUAUUAAUGACCUGAAGCUAGACAUAAGCAGAAUAGUUAGAGAAAUGCUAAGCACCACCCAAGAAAAAAACAGAUGGUGGAAUGGAAGAACAGAAAAAGAAGGGAGAAUUGUUUGAUGGAGAAAAUAGAGAAAGCAUAGAAUACAUGAAGCAGGUUCAAAGAGAUUACCAGGAAACUAAAAACUCUAUCGAAAACUGGCAUAACAGCUUGAAUGAAACUAAGGACAGAUUAUCUGAACUGGAGGGCAGAUUUGUAAUAUGGGAGCAUGAAAUGAAAAACUUCUUAAAAAUAACAAAGAAACAAACAGCAAUAAUACAAAUACUAGAAGAUGGUAAGAGGAUCUAUAACUUAAGAAUUAAGAACAUAAAAGAAAAGGUAGGGACACAAACAAAUGAACUACAAAAGCUACUCACAGAAAUAAUCCAGGAGAAUUUUCCUAAUUUAGCAAAAGGAAAAGAUACUCAGUUGUAUGAAGCAUACAGGACCCCAGCCACCUACAACCCAAACGGAACUACACCCAGGCAUAUAAUAAUAAAAUUCCAGAAAUCCAAUACAAGAAACAAGAAACAGAUCACUUACAGGGGAACCCCCAUCAGAAUUACAGCAGAUUUCUCGGCACAAACCAUCAAAUCACGAAGAGCGUGGGGGGAAAUAAUUCAAGCUUUGAAAGAUAAUAAUCUCCAGCAAGAUUGAUAUAUCCUGCACAACUAUCCCUGGAAAUUGAUGGAAAAACAAGGUGCUUCCAGGAUAAAGAGGAACUAGGACAAUAUGCAAUUCAACCAAUUCAACUCUACAGAGAAUACUACAGGAUAUUCUAAAAAAGAAAAAUAUGAAGAAUCCAGAAAUAGUGGCAGAGAGGCCACAAUGAAUGGAGCAGAAAACAAAAUGAAGAACACAAACUGACAACUAAUGACAGAAAAAGAGCUCAACAGAAAUGAGGCAGGGAAGAUUGGAUGAUAGGAACAGCUAUUUUGGAGAAAAUGACGUCUUAAUAGGUAAUACUGAUUUAGUAUCAUCUUGUUUUGAAGUCUCAUCAAGCUUUUGUUCUUCUGUCUCCAUUGGUCUAAACAGGUUGUAUCUUAUUGGAUUUUAUUAUGUAUGAUAGUAUAAGCAAAAACUUUCAUAGACAAGGAGAUUAUACAGAAACCAUUGUUCAUUUUCUGUUAGUUGAUUCUAAAUACCCUGUAAUACUGUCAUUCUCUUAAAUGGUUUUACAUUGUUUUGAUAUAUUUGCUGCUACAGUAUACGAAGUUAUACUCAAAGAUUUCAAGGAAAAAGACAAUAUGGUAACUACUUUUAUGUCGGGAUUAUCUUGUGGUGAAACACUAUUUUGCUUAAAUGGUUAUGUUUUGAUCUGCACUGUUUUGUUUUUAUGCUCUCUUUUAUCUCAGUCUCCAUUUUAUUAUUUACUUUUUUAUUUUUAUCCUUUUAAUUAAGGGAAAAAUAAAUAAAAAAUAGCAGGAUAUAUUAUAGUAACCCACUUUGACUUUCCAUUAUCUUGAUUUAAAGCCCUGUAUAGCUCUCACUAUCUUUUUUGACUGAUGUCCCUCUAUUCUGUUUUGCUUGAUAGUACCAGGUUCGAAAGUUUAGGCAACAGCUGUGAAGAUAGUGGGAUUCAUUAUGAAGCCCAUUCUGGUUGACUAUUAUCUACUUUUGAAGACCUGUAAUGUCUCCAAUGUUUUGGUUUUGCCGGUUUUGUUCUUACUGUUUUGUUCAAUUUUAUUAUAACUGAUGAUAUAGGCAAUUCUAUUAGAGAGAGUGGGAGGCAUUAUGAUAACCAUUGUUGAUCACCUUAUAUUAUGCUUUUACAUUAUCUAUUAUAUCCACCCUUUUGAUUUGACUGACUCUGUUCUGUUAUGUCACAUUUGGUUCUACUCCCUUCCAAAAAAGUAAUAAGAACUGUGGGAGCAACAAAACCCAAAAUGUGUAAUUGUCAUUGUAGAAAAGAGAGGAAAAGAAAGUGCUCUAAACGAUAUAACUGCAUAUAUAUUUAAGUAUAUAAGAUAGAUAAUGAUAUUACUGAGUUUUGUUGGAUCAUUGAACAGAACUGUUUGCAGUCUCACUGUUGAAAUGUCCACUUUAUAAACUUUAAUUUUGUAACUUGAACAACUAUUUCUAAGAUGACAAUAUGUAAUCCAUUAACUAGUGAUUUCCUACUGUUUAUUUUUUUCUGUAAAUCUGUAUAACUUGUACCCUUUCUCUGCUUUUUUUCUUUUUCUCCUUAAAUAAAUUAAAAAAAUAAUAAUAAUUAUGCCCUCCAA